rnacentral:rRNA from 1 species
UACGUAGGGGGCAAGCGUUGUCCGGAUUUAUUGGGCGUAAAGAGCGUGUAGGCGGCUUGGUAGGUCCGCUGUGAAAACUCGAGGCUCAACCUCGAGAUGUCGGCGGAAACCACUUGGCUAGAGUCCGGAAGAGGAGAGUGGAAUUCCCGGUGUAGCGGUGAAAUGCGCAGAUAUCGGGAAGAACACCUGUGGCGAAAGCGGCGCACUGGACCAUAACUGACGCUGAGGCGCGAAAGCUAGGGGAGCAAACAGG